AGCCGGCUGAGCCACAUCAAACUCUCCACACGCUGGAAUUAAAGCUUCAGGCCCAACCAGCUCUAUGAAGAAUGUUGCAACGUGUUGUUCUGAGAGUCCAAAUUGUUAUCCACAUAUGACAGUUACAAGACUGGUCACAGAUUUCUCAAACUAUUUUAUGUCUGAACAAUCCUUUGUAUUCAGUUUGACAGAAACUGAAAGUAACCAACUACUACGGUCAACUUUCACAAAUGCAAGAAAUGAUGAGCAAUCUGGAAUUUCAAGUUCAACAAAUCAGGACUCAAGUGGAGAGCCAGGAUGUUGACUAGGAACAACUCCUGGGCUGAGAUUCAACCAGUGAAUGAAACUGAAAAGUACCAUAAACUAAUGAAUGGCAAGUCUGGGAACACUCUACUUUCAAACAGCAGGGGACACCUACAGUAUUACCCAUAUUUUAUAGGGUAGUAAAAUGAGACACAGAGAGGCUGAGUGUCUUGC